rnacentral:rRNA from 1 species
GAUGAACGCUGGCGGCGUGCCUAAUACAUGCAAGUCGAGCGAACAGACGAGGAGCUUGCUCCUCUGACGUUAGCGGCGGACGGGUGAGUAACACGUGGAUAACCUACCUAUAAGACUGGGAUAACUUCGGGAAACCGGAGCUAAUACCGGAUAAUAUAUUGAACCGCAUGGUUCAAUAGUGAAAGACGGUUUUGCUGUCACUUAUAGAUGGAUCCGCGCCGCAUUAGCUAGUUGGUAAGGUAACGGCUUACCAAGGCGACGAUGCGUAGCCGACCUGAGAGGGUGAUCGGCCACACUGGAACUGAGACACGGUCCAGACUCCUACGGGAGGCAGCAGUAGGGAAUCUUCCGCAAUGGGCGAAAGCCUGACGGAGCAACGCCGCUGAGUGAUGAAGGUCUUCGGAUCGUAAAACUCUGUUAUUAGGGAAGAACAAAUGUGUAAGUAACUAUGCACGUCUUGACGGUACCUAAUCAGAAAGCCACGGCUAACUACGUG